AAAGUACUCCCUCCGUCCCAAAAUUCUUGUCUUAGAUUUAUCUAGAUACGGAUGUAUCAAGUCACAUUUUAGUAUUAGAUACAUCUAUAUCUAGACAAAUCUAAGACAAGAAAUUUGGGACAGAGGGAGUAGUUG
rnacentral:pre_miRNA from 1 species